UACGAAGGGGGCUAGCGUUGCUCGGAAUUACUGGGCGUAAAGCGCGUGUAGGCUGCUCGGUAAGUCGGGUGUGAAAGCCCUGGGCUUAACCCAGGAAGUGCACUCGAAACUUCCGAGCUCGAGUCCUGGAGAGGAAGGCGGAAUUCUCGGUGUAGAGGUGAAAUUCGUAGAUAUCGAGAGGAACACCGGUGGCGAAGGCAGCUUUCUGGACAGUGACUGACGCUGAGACGCGAAAGCGUGGGGAGCAAACAGG
rnacentral:rRNA from 1 species